rnacentral:rRNA from 1 species
GACGAACGCUGGCGGCGUGCUUAACACAUGCAAGUCGAACGGAAAGGCCCUGCUCUUGUGGGGUGCUCGAGUGGCGAACGGGUGAGUAACACGCGUGUAACCUGCCCUUGACAUUGGGAUAACUUCACGAAACUGGGGCUAAUACCGGAUAGGAGCUCCUGCUCCACGGGGGGGGUUGGAAAGUUUCGGCGGUUGGGGCUGGACUCGCGGCUUAUCCGCUUGUUGGUGGGGUAGUGGCUUACCAAGGCUUUGACGGGUAGCCGGCCUGGGAGGGUGACCGGCCACAUUGGGACUGAGAGACGGCCCAGACUCCUACGGGAGGCAGCAGGGGGGAAUAUUGCACAAUGAGCGGAAGCCUGAUGCAGCAACGCCGCGUGCGGGAUGACGGCCUUCGAGUGGUAAACCGCUUUCGCCUGUGACGAAGAGUGAGUGACGGUAAUGGGUAAAGAAGCACCGGCUAACUACGUG